UACGUAGGGUGCAAGCGUUGUCCGGAAUUAUUGGGCGUAAAGAGCUCGUAGGCGGUUUGUCGCGUCUGCUGUGAAAAACUCGGGGCUUAACUCCGGGCCUGCAGUGGGUACGGGCAGACUAGAGUGCGGUAGGGGAGACUGGAAUUCCUGGUGUAGCGGUGAAAAUGCGCAGAUAUCAGGAGGAACACCGGUGGCGAAGGCGGGGUCUCUGGGCCGUAACUGACGCUGAGGAGCGAAAGCGUGGGGGAGCGAACAGG
rnacentral:rRNA from 1 species